UUACUUGGAUAACUGUGGUAAUUCUAGAGCUAAUACAUGCAAAUAGAGUUCCGACCAGAGAUGGAAGGAAUGCUUUUAUUAGAUCAAAACCAAUCGGUGGCGGGCUUGCCUUGCUCACCGUUUGACUUGGUGACUCUGAAUAACUUUGUGCUGAUCGCACGGUCUCGUACCGGCGACGCAUCUUUCAAAUGUCUGCCUUAUCAACUGUCGAUGGUAGUUUCUGCGACUACCAUGGUUGUUACGGGUAACGGGGAAUCAGGGUUCGAUUCCGGAGAGGGAGCCUGAGAAACGGCUACCACAUCCAAGGAAGGCAGCAGGCGCGCAAAUUACCCACUCCCGGCACGGGGAGGUAGUGACGAAAAAUAACGAUACGGGACUCAUCCGAGGCCCCGUAAUCGGAAUGAGUACACUUUAAAUCCUUUCACGAUUAACAAUUGGAGGGCAAGCCUGGUGCCAGCAGCCGCGGUAACUCCAGCUCCAAUAGCGUAUAUUAAAGUUGUUGCGGUUAAAAAGCUCGUAGUUGAAUCUGUGUCCCACACUGUCGGUUCACCGCUCGCGGUGUUCAACUGGCAUGUCUGUGGGACGUCCUACCGGUGGGCGCAGCCCGUCAAAAGGCGGCCCAACUCAAAAUCCUACCACGGUGCUCUUCACCGAGUGUCGAGGUGGGCCGGUACGUUUACUUUGAACAAAUUAGAGUGCUUAAAGCAGGCUCAUUCGCCUGAAUAUUCUGUGCAUGGAAUAAUGGAAUAGGACCUCGGUUCUAUUUUGUUGGUUUUCGGAACUCCGAGGUAAUGAUUAAUAGGGACAACUGGGGGCAUUCGUAUUGCGACGUUAGAGGUGAAAUUCUUGGAUCGUCGCAAGACGGACAGAAGCGAAAGCAUUUGCCAAAUGUGUUUUCAUCAAUCAAGAACGAAAGUUAGAGGUUCGAAGGCGAUCAGAUACCGCCCUAGUUCUAACCAUAAACGAUGCCAGCUAGCGAUCCGCCGAAGUUCCUCCGAUGACUCGGCGGGCAGCUUCCGGGAAACCAAAGCUUUUGGGUUCCGGGGGAAGUAUGGUUGCAAAGCUGAAACUUAAAGGAAUUGACGGAAGGGCACCACCAGGAUUGGAGCCUGCGGCUUAAUUUGACUCAACACGGGGAACCUCACCAGGCCCA
rnacentral:rRNA from 2 species